rnacentral:misc_RNA from 1 species
GUCAUGAGCGGUAUACCAUUGACCUCCCAAACAAUAUCAGUGAUAUAAAGCCUGGCCAAGAUGUGACUGUCACAACUGAUAAUGGAAAAUCUUUCACCUGCACAGCUCGCUUUGACACUGAGGUGGAAUUGGCAUAUUUCAACCAUGGAGGAAUUCUUCCGUAUGUUAUCCGCAACCUGAUGACGCAGUGAAUCAUUUGAUCAUUGGCAAGUAAAAUUUCUCCAUGAAAUGAGAUUUUCAAUUGUAAAAUGUGAGAAUUUGAGAAUAAAGUUUUUCAAUAAU